rnacentral:rRNA from 1 species
GAGUUGCGAACGGGUGAGUAACGCGUAGGUAACCUGCCUUGUAGCGGGGGAUAACUAUUGGAAACGAUAGCUAAUACCGCAUAACAAUGGAUGACACAUGUCAUUUAUUUGAAAGGGGCAAUUGCUCCACUACAAGAUGGACCUGCGUUGUAUUAGCUAGUAGGUGAGGUAAUGGCUCACCUAGGCGACGAUACAUAGCCGACCUGAGAGGGUGAUCGGCCACACUGGGACUGAGACACGGCCCAUACUCCUACGGGAGGCAGCAGUAGGGAAUCUUCGGCAAUGGGGGCAACCCUGACCGAGCAACCCCGCGUGAGUUAAGAAGGUUUUCGGAUCGUAAAGCUCUGUUGUAAGUCAAGAACGGGUGUGAGAGUGGAAAGUUCACACUGUGACGGUCGCUUACCAGAA